rnacentral:rRNA from 1 species
UGGUUGACCUCGGAUCAGGUAGGGAUACCCGCUGAACUUAAGCAUAUCAAUAAGCGGAGGAAAAGAAACCAACAGGGAUUGCCUCAGUAACGGCGAGUGAAGCGGCAAAAGCUCAAAUUUGAAAUUGGCUCUUUCAGGGUCCGAGUUGUAAUUUGUAGAAGAUGCUUCGGGUGUGGUCCCGGUCUAAGUUCCUUGGAACAGGACGUCAUAGAGGGUGAGAAUCCCGUAUGUGACUGGGUACCUACGCUCAUGUGAAGCUCUUUCGACGAGUCGAGUUGUUUGGGAAUGCAGCUCAAAAUGGGUGGUAAAUUUCAUCUAAAGCUAAAUAUUGGCCAGAGACCGAUAGCGCACAAGUAGAGUGAUCGAAAGAUGAAAAGCACUUUGGAAAGAGAGUUAAACAGUACGUGAAAUUGUUGAAAGGGAAGCGCUUGCAAUCAGACUUGCGCCUAGUUGAUCAUCCGGGCUUCUGCCCGGUGCACUCGAUUAGGCUCAGGCCAGCAUCGGUUUGGGUGGUUGGAUAAAGGCUUGGGGAACGUAGCCUCCUUCGGGGGGUGUUAUAGCCCCAGGUGCAAUGCAGCCUACCUGGACCGAGGACCGCGCUUCGGCUAGGAUGCUGGCGUAAUGGUUGUAAGCGACCCGUCUUGAAUCACGGACCAAGGAGUCUAACAUUUAUGCGAGUGUUUGGGUGUUAAACCCAUAC